UCUAGAAACAGAUUUGUCGUAAAGAUGGCAAAUAUCCGGACCAUAUCUUGGUUAUUGUGUGUUGCAUUCUGCAUUGUGGGAUGCCAAAGUCAUCCACUCGAUGAAACAACCAAUUUGACUGUUGAAGAACGAAUCGCUUCCAGUACUUGCUGGAGAUAUAAAUGUGGCAAGGAGAAAGGCGGAAAUAUAUACUAUUGCCCACCUCAUUGCCGUUGCAAUGGUCCCAGAAUAAUUUUUAUCCAACCGCGAGAGUGGUGCUACUGAAGACGAUUCAGCAAAUCAAUUUGUUAUAAAAAUAAACGAUGACCAGGUAGUGUUACUUAGCGGCAGUGACACUGGUGUUAAAAAUGUAAAUAGAAGAAGUUCUUUAAACUCAAUGCAAUUACAAAUAUUUACGUGCAAGUUAGAAGUUCGACCAACGCGAGCACGUAUCAUAGGUGACUCAUACAGUCAAUCGAUCAGCUACCAGCACUUUUCUCAUGGUAUACCUGGAGAAGCUUCUGCGCCUUACUACCUACUGCAAAACUUCGGGCUAUUCUCUGCGCUGGCAUGCGCCCAUCGCCAAUGACGACUGUAGGGCGUCGUCCUUUGCGAGAUACAUGAAUCAGUAGACGGUAGACGAGAAUCAGUGAACAUUCAAUUCGAGUGAAUUUCAUGCCUUUAUUUCACAAGGACAAUGUUUUGCUGUCCUUAGCUGAAGCUGAAAGGACGUAAUGUCGCCGGCUGAGAGAACUUCCAGUGAUGACAACUCUCUGUGGAAUGUACAGCUUCGGUAAACUUUGAGAGGCCUAUAUUUAAACUUAUGAAUUGUGUGAGCACACGCAGACCACAAGGACCUCGCUGUUGCCCGUCAUCCAUCUCCAUUGUAUGAAAACGGAGUGAACGCAGGUCAGCGCAAACACGCGCACGUCUUACUCCUACGGAAUCCGGCCAUGUGACAGCUGGCAUGUCCGAAACAAUAGGACCCGGCGCAGUGCUCCAUCUUCUUGAUGGUUGCCUGCCCUCUGAGCCUCAGACGCAGAUGGUUGCACGACAUGAACAUCUAGGAAAAGACGUGCAUCAGAAUGAACUAUAAUAAAAUUGUGAGGUGUCAUAAUGCUAUUUAAUAUCAGGCAGUUAGUGUGAAUAUUGUCACACGUGUCGCAUGCUGCCACAUGUACAUUGCCACAUGUGUCGUGCGCCCACGUGACGAACGUUUUUCACGACCGUAAUUAGCUUAUUACGUAGCGAUCUAUGGAUGACAGUGGACAGAAGGAUGUUCUGCUUUCUAUUGCACGUUAUAUUUGGUUGAUAUACAUUAUUUUGCUGUGGGAAUAAUAAAAAAUGCACAUGAACGUACU
rnacentral:lncRNA from 1 species